rnacentral:rRNA from 1 species
UACGUAGGGGGCAAGCGUUGUCCGGAAUCAUUGGGCGUAAAGAGCGUGUAGGCGGCUCGAUAAGUCUGCUGUGAAAGUCCAGGGCUCAACCCUGGAAUGCCGGUGGAUACUGUCGAGCUCGAGUCCGGAAGAGGCGAGUGGAAUUCCUGGUGUAGCGGUGAAAUGCGCAGAUAUCAGGAGGAACACCAAUGGCGAAGGCAGCUCGCUGGGACGGUACUGACGCUGAGACGCGAAAGCGUGGGGAGCAAACAGG